rnacentral:rRNA from 1 species
GCAGCAGUGGGGAAUAUUGGACAAUGGGGGCAACCCUGAUCCAGCCAUGCCGCGUGUGUGAAGAAGGUCUUCGGAUUGUAAAGCACUUUAAGUUGGGAGGAAGGGCUUUAGGUUAAUACCCUGAAGUUUUGACGUUACCAACAGAAUAAGCCCCGGCUAAUUUUGUGCCAGCAGCCGCGGUAAUACAGAGGGGGCAAGGGUUUUUUGGAAUUUUUGGGGGUAAAGGGGGGGUAGGGGGUUCAGUAAGAUGGGUGUGAAAUCCCCGGGCUUAACCUGGGAACUGCUUUCAUAAAUGCUGAGUUUGAGUAAGGUAGAGGGUAGGGGAAUUUCCUGUGUAGCGGUGAAAUGGGUAGAAUUUGGAAGGAACACCAGUGGGGAAGGGGACUACCUGGACUUAUACUGACCUUGAGGUGGGAAAAGGGGGGGAGCAAACAGGAUUAAAUUCCCUGGUAGUCCCCCCCGUAAACGANGUUAACUAGCCGGUGGGUCCGACAGCCUNAGUGCCGCAGCUAACGCAAUAAG